CGAAACGCUAUGAUCAAACGUGUCAUGAAGUGCACAGGUCAACUAAUCGAUAAUGAGAUUCGUUGACAACGAUUUUCAUUAUCGAUACUUAUCGAUGUUAUCGAUUAGUUGUUUCAGCUCUAGUUCUGACUUUCUUGAACGAUUUAGUCACUUCUCUUCUUUGAGAACUCUCAUCAACGUGAUUGCUAGAAUAAAAAGGCUAGCCUCAAGACAGAAAUGUGUUAAUGACACUGACUGUGGAAGAAUAUGAAAGAGCAUUUGAGGUUCUGAUUAAGCUCGUUCUACAACAGGCCUUUUCCCAGGAGAUAAGAGCAAUUCAAGGAGGGAAGGCGCUUCAGAAAUCAAGUGCCCUUUUUCAUCUCGAUCCUAUUUUGAAAGGAGGUCUUAUUCAUGUUGGAGGAAGGUUGAAACAGUCAUCUCUUAGUGAAGAGGUCAAGCAUCCAGUGAUUUUGCCAAAAGACAGCCACAUCACCAACCUUAUUUUAACUCACUAUCACGCUAAAAUUUGCCAUCAAGGGAGGUAUCAAACACUCAUGGAACUGAGAGCAAAUGCAUUUUGGGUUAUCGGCGGCAGUAAGUCAGUAGCUAAAUUGAUUUACAGAUGUGUACAAUGUAGGAAGCUCAGACGGCCUUUGGAGGAGCAACAAAUGGCAGAGCUUCCUAAAGAACGAAUUGAAGUCUCUGCCCCUUUCUGCUAUACUGGCAUGGAUUGCUUUGGCCCAUUCAUUAUAAAAAGGGGUCGAAAGGAGUAUAAAAGCUGUAACGAAUCCGGCCUCUGUGGUUCCCCCGAUCGUCACCAGAGGUCACCAUCACCCGAGUAUUGACUUUCCCCUCGAAACUACAUUUCCCAUCACCCCGCACCCAGCACUGAUUACGAGCUCACCUGCAGCCUAUUACCGGGACUACUUAAGCCUCCGCCUCUCGCUCACUCAUUGCGAAGUCUUGUUUUGCCCCGGCUGACAUUUCUGAGCGUUUAUAUCUUCUCUGUUGGAUUACCGUGUUUGACCAUGGACUGUUUCUUCUCGUUUCUGGAUUCUUUGCUGCCUGCCCUGACCAUCUGCCUGUUUGAUCACUCUGCCUUUGUUUCGCCUCUGAUUACCCUGUUUCGCUGUUGCUCGACCACGCCUGUACGACUGUGUCUGCCUUUUAUUAAAACGCUGCUAAUGGAUCCCCAUUCUGUUGACUCCGCGUUACAACAGCCAUUACUCUGUUAUUUUUUGUGUGUUGUGUGUGUGGGUUUUUUUUUUUGUUUGUUUUUGUCCCCCCUCUUAUUGUGAGUGAUGUAUCUCCUUCUAUUUUUCCUUUUGCUUCAAAUGUAAGAAAACCAAUAAAUAAAGAAUUGGGGAAAAAAUGGAUUUCAUACUAAUACUGUUAGGUCAAUAAAAAAAUGUAUAUGCA